GUCUAGGGCCAUGCCACCCUGAAUGUGCCGGAUCUCGUCUGACCUCGGAAGCUAAGCAGGGUCAGGCCUGGUUAGUACUUGAAUGGGAGACCACCUAGGAAUACUGGGUGCUGUAGGCG
rnacentral:rRNA from 1 species